ensembl:lncRNA
GGGCAAAGAGUUCAAGCAACAAGGCGGAGGUUGCUUGUGAAGUUGACCAUGAGUACACCAAGCAGGCCGCAGCCUCUGGGCAAAGCCUCUUGACCCAGGAAGCUUGUAAAAGAGGACAGACUUGAGAUAAACUCUGGUCCUUAUUGUCAACAUCCAUUGUCACUGAUAUUUCCCUCGAGUUGAUCUAACUUUGAUUUUUCUGUCAAUUUGGAGCUUGACUCCCUUCCAAAGACAAUGGAGUCUGGCUGCUGACCAGGAGCUGCGAAACUGCCCCUCUUACCCAUCUCCAGCCACGUGGUUUCUGGACAUCUUCCCUGGGGAGAGGACAGUCAAUAGCUGUGAAGGAAACACAUCAGUGAAGGUAGCUGUGCGUAGCUGAGCGCUCACUGGAGAGACAGGCCGUCAGAUGAGAGAUUGGCGUCAAGUAGUAAACGGCAACCAAAGGAGUCACAUAAGAUUGUACCAGUUUACGCUUCCACCAACAACACGUGACAGCAUCUCCAGUGUCCUCUGUGGGACUGUGUGUUAGGAGGCGGGACACCCGGUGCUGGGAGCUGAAGCUCUGGAAUGAAUCUGAGAGGUCUGUGUAGACCGGGCCUCUGCCAUUUCCUAGCUGUGGGACCUGAAGCAAGUUAUUUAAUUUUGCUGAACCUCAGUUUCUCAAAUGUGAAUAGGUUGGCGUGAGGACACAGUGAGG